UACGUAGGGGCAAGCGUUGUCCGGAUUUAUUGGGCGUAAAGAGCGUGUAGGCGGUUUGGUAGGUCCGCUGUGAAACUCGAGGCUCAACCUCGAGACGCCGGUGGAAACCAUCAGACUAGAGUCCGGAAGAGGAGAGUGGAAUUCCUGGUGUAGCGGUGGAAUGACGCAGAUAUCAGGAGGAACACCAACGGCGAAGGCAGCUCGCUGGGACGGUACUGACGCUGAGGCGCGAAAGCGUGGGGAGCGAACAGG
rnacentral:rRNA from 1 species